GGUUAAAUAUGGGCAUGUCUGUGCCCCAAGAACAUCACCCCAGCACCGCACCCCCCCUACAGAGCCCCUGAGAGCAACCCCCUCACCAUGGACUGGAGCUGGAGAGUCCUCUUCCUCCUGGCACUGGCUGCAGGUGUCCACUCCCAGGUCCAGCUGGUGCAGUCUGGGGCUGAGCUGAAGAAGCCGGGGACGUCCGUGAAGGUCUCCUGCAAGGCAUCCGGAUACACCUUCACCAGCUAUGGUGUGAACUGGGUGCGGCAGGUCCCAGGACAAGGGCUCGAGUGGAUGGGAUGGAUCAACACUAAUACUGGAGUCCCAAGCUAUGCCCAGAAGUUCCAGGGCCGAGUCACCAUGACCAGGGACACGUCCACGAGCACAGCCUUCAUGGAGCUGAGCAGUCUGAGGCCUGAGGACACGGCCGUGUAUUACUGUGCGAGAGACACAGUGUGAGAACCCACAUCCUGAGCACGUCAGAAACCCUGAGGGACAGGGGGUGUGCUGGGCUGAGGAGGGGACAGGGGACGAUGACUUCCUGACUCCCUCAUUCCAGAUCAGGAAGGAGAUAAAGAAUAAAGAUCUCACAGAACAACACUUACAAGAAUU